GUCUACUAAAUACCCUAAAAGCAGAAGAUCCCAUCUGAUCUUGAAAGUCAAGUAGAGUCAUCCUUGGUUAGUUCUUGGAUGAAUGACUGCUCACAAAUACCAGGCAUUGUGAGCU
rnacentral:rRNA from 1 species